rnacentral:snoRNA from 1 species
UUGCAUUGCAAGAAGAAAGUUUCCUCACACUUUCUGUCUGUCUGAUUAUGACAGCCAAGAUUGAAUAGAGGAACACAGAG